AGAGUUUGAUCAUGGCUCAGGAUGAACGCUGGCGGCGUGCCUAACACAUGCAAGUCGAGCGAUUUACUUCGGUAAAGAGCGGCGGACGGGUGAGUAACGCGCGGGUAACCUGCCCUAUACACACGGAUAACAUACCGAAAGGUAUGCUAAUACGGGAUAAUAUAAGAGAUUCGCAUGGAUUUCUUAUCAAAGCUGAGGCGGUAUAGGAUGGACCCGCGUCUGAUUAGCUAGUUGGUAAGGUAACGGCUUACCAAGGCGACGAUCAGUAGCCGACCUGAGAGGGUGAUCGGCCACAUUGGAACUGAGGCACGGUCCAAACUCCUACGGGAGGCAGCAGUGGGGAAUAUUGCACAAUGGGCGAAAGCCUGAUGCAGCAACGCCGCGUGAGUGAUGAAGGCCUUCGGGUCGUAAAACUCUGUCCUCAAGGAAGAUAAUGACGGUACUUGAGGAGGAAGCCCCGGCUAACUACGUGCCAGCAGCCGCGGUAAUACGUAGGGGGCUAGCGUUAUCCGGAUUUACUGGGCGUAAAGGGUGCGUAGGUGGUCUCUUAAGUCAGGAGUGAAAGGCUACGGCUUAACCGUAGUAAGCUCUUGAAACUGGGAGACUUGAGUGCAGGAGAGGAAAGUGGAAUUCCUAGUGUAGCGGUGAAAUGCGUAGAUAUUAGGAGGAACACCAGUAGCGAAGGCGGCUUUCUGGACUGUAACUGACACUGAGGCACGAAAGCGUGGGGAGCAAACAGGAUUAGAUACCCUGGUAGUCCACGCCGUAAACGAUGAGUACUACGUGUCGGGGGUUACCCCCCUCGGUGCCGCAGCUAACGCAUUAAGUACUCCGCCUGGGGAGUACGCUCGCAAGAGUGAAACUCAAAGGAAUUGACGG
rnacentral:rRNA from 1 species